CUGACUAACUACUCUCUAACUUUUCCUACACACCACACACGCUAAACGAAUGAUGUAUAAUGUGAGCGAGGAAAGUGUAAAAAAACCGGAGGUGGGGGACAGUAAGGAGGAGGCGGAGGAGUAGAAGGUUGAUGAGGAGGAGCAGGAGGAGGAGGAGGAGGUGGAGCUGGACAGAAAAGGAGUUGGAGGGAAUGCCCUGAUGACAGGUGAUCCCAAUUCCCAUAAUUGCCCGGGUCUGCUUGACGAGCCAUCUAGCGCAGCUGCGCUGAACGCCCGGUCCGCCCACAACACACUGGAGAUGAGAGGCACUCGCUGGAAGCGUUCUGCUUCUUCCCCCACACAUCCCAACGUAGUGGCUUAUUUCCAUGCAGAAACAGUAAAACAAGUAUGGAGUAUGAAAGCCAUCCAUCUGCUCCGGGAAUUAAGAUGCUAGACAUGUAUUUGUUUGGAUAUGACAAGUGACAAGUGGAAAUCCUUGGCUGAGCGAUGUGCCUGAUAUGCACGGUUACUAUCAGGAUAUCACGUUGCAUAAAAUAUUGAAGAUCAUAAAUAAAACAUUUGAGUGUA
ensembl:lncRNA